rnacentral:rRNA from 1 species
GACAGAGGUCCCGAGCGUUAGGCGGAAUCACUGGGCUUAAAGCGUGUGUAGGCGGAGUGCUAAGUACCUUGUGAAAUCCCACGGCUCAACCGUGGAACUGCUCGGUAUACUGGUUCUCUUGAGCCACCUAGGGGCAACCGGAACAAACGGUGGAGCGGUGAAAUGCGUAGAUAUCGUUUGGAACGCCAAUGGUGAAAACAGGUUGCUGGGGGUGUGCUGACGCUGAGACACGAAAGCCAGGGGAGCAAACGGG